rnacentral:tRNA from 1 species
GCCCGAGUGGUGGAACUGGUAGACACAAGGGACUUAAAAUCCCUCGCCCUUACGGGUGUGUGGGUUCGAUUCCCACCUCGGGCACCA